ACCGGUGUAGCUCAGCUGGACAGAGCGCUGCUUAUGUAAAGCAGAGGUCGUGGGUUCGAAUCCCAUCAUCGGUA
rnacentral:tRNA from 1 species